UGCAAGUCGACGGUAACAUUUCUUGCUUGCAAGAAGAUGACGAGUGGCGCACGGGUGCGUAACGCGUAUACAACCUGCCUUUAACAAAGGGAUAGCCCAUGGAAACGUGGAUUAAUACCUUAUAAUAUGUAGACAUGGCAUCAUGAUUACAUCAAAGAUUUAUCGGUUAGAGAGGGGUAUGCGUGACAUUAGCUAGUUGGUGAGGUAACGGCCCACCAAGGCUACGAUGUCUAGGGGUUCUGAGAGGAUGAUCCCCCACACUGGUACUGAGACACGGACCAGACUCCUACGGGAGGCAGCAGUGAGGAAUAUUGCGCAAUGGAGGAAACUCUGACGCAGCCAUGCCGCGUGAAGGAAUGAAUGCCCUAUGGGUUGUAAACUUCUUUUUAUAUGGGAAGAAACUUUUCUACGUGUAGAAAACUGACGGUACCAUACGAAUAAGCACCGGCUAACUCCGUGCCAGCAGCCGCGGUAAUACG
rnacentral:rRNA from 1 species